AUGAACAUUGCGCUCUUGACUCAUUGGCUCUGGUGCAUCGCCAAUGGGGAGGGCGACCUCUGGCUUACUAUCAUCAGAAACAAGUACCUUCGGGGCCAACCCCUAGCUUUCUAUCAACGCUCUGGUGGCUCCCAGUUCUGGCAGGCUGUGAUUUAGCUUUUACCCGUGCUCCGCAUAGGCACGUCCAUCACGGUUGGCUCUGGGUCCUCAACCCUGUUCUGGUUCAACCGCUGGCGAGGGGACUUUCCCCUGGCCGCUCGCUUCCCGGCCCUAUUCGCCAUAGCGGUUGACCCUCGGGUCUCCGUCGAGACGGCCCUUAUUGACUUAGGGUGUCUCGCCUUCCGGCACCCCUUUGGUCCCUUUGAGGUGGCCGCUUGGGACUCCCUUCUCCAGGAUAUCGCUCUUCUUCUGAUGGACGUCGAGGGCGCCCCUGACUCCCUUUCUUGGCGCCUAGAGCCUUCCGGCCGCUUCUCCACUAAGUCUUUAUACGCAGCCAUCACUCCUUCAUUGGCCCCUGAGCCCUUUAGCCUGAUCUGGGACAUUCGCCUUCCCCUGAAGAUCAGGAUCUUCCUGUGGCAGUGGAUACGGGGACGCCUUCCCUCUGGGGUAGAGGUCCUCAAGCGUAAUGGACCAGGAGAUGGGAUGUGUCCCUUGUGCGGCACGGUGGAGGAUACUAACCACAUCUUCUUCUCCUGCUCCACAGCCCAAUUCAUGUGGUCCUGCUUCCGUGAGACGGUCGGUGGAUAG
rnacentral:rRNA from 1 species